rnacentral:rRNA from 1 species
GAUGAACGCUGGCGGCGUGCCUAAUACAUGCAAGUCGAGCGAACAGAUGAGGAGCUUGCUCCUCUGACGUUAGCGGCGGACGGGUGAGUAACACGUGGAUAACCUACCUAUAAGACUGGGAUAACUUCGGGAAACCGGAGCUAAUACCGGAUAAUAUAUUGAACCGCAUGGUUCAAUAGUGAAAGACGGUUUUGCUGCCACUUAUAGAUGGAUCCGCGCCGCAUUAGCUAGUUGGUAAGGUAAAGGCUUACCAAGGCAACGAUGCGUAGCCGACCUGAGAGGGUGAUCAGCCACACUGGAACUGAGACACGGUCCAGACUCCUACGGGAGGCAGCAGUAGGGAAUCUUCCGCAAUGGGCGAAAGCCUGACGGAGCAACGCCGCGUGAGUGAUGAAGGUCUUCGGAUCGUAAACCGCUGUUAUUAGGGAAGAACAAAUGUGUAAGUAACUAUGCACGUCUUGACGGUACCUAAUCAGAAAGCCACGGCUAACUACGUG